rnacentral:tRNA from 1 species
AACUAAUGAACUUGAACAAGUAUGUAUUUUGAAAAUACAUGAAAGAGAAAAUAACCCUCUAUUAGUUU